AUGGCCUAGUAUUCUUAUGUGAAGUCUACCAAGCUUGUGCUCAAGGGAACCGAGGUGAAGAAGUAAGAAGAAAAAGAGCAAAGAUAAGAAGAGAAAAAGAGAAGAUGAAGAAACCCAGCUUGAUAUGUUGGAAUCUGGUGAACAGUAACAAACUUUGGUGAAAUUUCAGGAACCAUAGCCAUUGAAGUGGAUGAGGGAACCUAUAUACAUGCACUCAACAAUGGUCUUUUUACCCUGGGAGCUCCACACAAAGGUUGAUGAGGGCCCUAGUCCUCCAGAGCAGUUUAUGGCUGUCAAAUUAUCUGAUUCACAGAAUCGCCCUGAAACCUGGCUAUGGAAAAUAUCUUAGUAUAAAUUCAGAUGAACUUGUUGUUGGCGUUCAGAUGCAAUUGGACCAAGAGAACAAUGGGAACCAGUCUUUCAAAAUGUGAGUGCUGUUAUUGUUUAUAAAAACUUC
rnacentral:lncRNA from 1 species